UACGGAGGAUCCAAGCGUUAUCCGGAUUCACUGGGUUUAAAGGGUGCGUAGGUGGAAUUUCAAGUCAGUGGUGAAAACCUGCAGCUCAACUGUAGAACUGCCAUUGAUACUGUAAUUCUUGAGUACAUUUGAUGUGAGUGGAAUGUGUCGUGUAGCGGUGAAAUGCUUAGAUAUGACACAGAACACCUAUUGCGAAGGCAGCUCACAAAACUGUAACUGACACUGAGGCACGAAAGCGUGGGGAU
rnacentral:rRNA from 1 species